UACAGAGGGUGCAAGCGUUAAUCGGAAUUACUGGGCGUAAAGCGUGCGUAGACGGUUACAUAAGUCGGGUGUGAAAGCCCCGGGCUCAACCUGGGAAUUGCAUUCGAGACUGCGUAGCUAGGGUACGGUAGAGGGAAGCGGAAUUUCCGGUGUAGCGGUGAAAUGCGUAGAUAUCGGAAGGAACACCAGUGGCGAAGGCGGCCUGCUGGGCAGUGGCUGACGCUGAGGCGCGACAGCGUGGGGAGCAAACAGG
rnacentral:rRNA from 1 species